GACGAACGCUGGCGGCGUGCUUAACACAUGCAAGUCGAACGGAAAGGCCCUGCUUUUGUGGGGUGCUCGAGUGGCGAACGGGUGAGUAACACGUGAGUAACCUGCCCUUGACUUUGGGAUAACUUCAGGAAACUGGGGCUAAUACCGGAUAGGAGCUCCUGCUGCAUGGUGGGGGUUGGAAAGCUUCGGCGGUUGGGGAUGGACUCGCGGCUUAUCAGCUUGUUGGUGGGGUAGUGGCUUACCAAGGCUUUGACGGGUAGCCGGCCUGAGAGGGUGACCGGCCACAUUGGGACUGAGAUACGGCCCAGACUCCUACGGGAGGCAGCAGUGGGGAAUAUUGCACAAUGGGCGGAAGCCUGAUGCAGCAACGCCGCGUGCGGGAUGACGGCCUUCGGGUUGUAAACCGCUUUCGCCUGUGACGAAGCGUGAGUGACGGUAAUGGGUAAAGAAGCACCGGCUAACUACGUGCCAGCAGCCGCGGUGAUACGUAGGGUGCGAGCGUUGUCCGGAUUUAUUGGGCGUAAAGGGCUCGUAGGUGGUUGAUCGCGUCGGAAGUGUAAUCUUGGGGCUUAACCCUGAGCGUGCUUUCGAUACGGGUUGACUUGAGGGAGGUAGGGGAGAAUGGAAUUCCUGGUGGAGCGGUGGAAUGCGCAGAUAUCAGGAGGAACACCAGUGGCGAAGGCGGUUCUCUGGGCCUUUCCUGACGCUGAGGAGCGAAAGCGUGGGGAGCGAACAGGCUUAGAUACCCUGGUAGUCCACGCUGUAAACGGUGGGUACUAGGUGUGGGGUCCAUUCCACGGGUUCCGUGCCGUAGCUAACGCUUUAAGUACCCCGCCUGGGGAGUACGGCCGCAAGGCUAAAACUCAAAGGAACUGACGGGGCCCCGCACAAGCGGCGGAGCAUGCGGAUUAAUUCGAUGCAACGCGUAGAACCUUACCUGGGUUUGACAUGGAUCGGGAGUGCUCAGAGAUGGGUGUGCCUCUUUUGGGGUCGGUUCACAGGUGGUGCAUGCCUGUCGUCAGCUCGUGUCGUGAGAUGUUGGGUUAAGUCCCGCAACGAGCGCAACCCUUGUUCACUGUUGCCAGCACGUUAUGGUGGGGACUCAGUGGAGACCGCCGGGGUCAACUCGGAGGAAGGUGGGGAUGACGUCAAGUCCUCAUGCCCCUUAUGUCCAGGGCUUCACGCAUGCUACAAUGGCUGGUACAGAGAGUGGCGAGCCUGUGAGGGUGAGCGAAUCUCGGAAAGCCGGUCUCAGUUCGGAUUGGGGUCUGCAACUCGACCUCAUGAAGUCGGAGUCGCUAGUAAUCGCAGAUCAGCAACGCUGCGGUGAAUAAGUUCCCGGG
rnacentral:rRNA from 1 species